GUUACAGCAAAUCUGAACGGUUACAGCAACUAGUCGGCCGACGUCGAUAGCAGAUGGAGCGGCGGUUGUGAGCGGGGAGCGUGGUCGACGAAGACAGAAUCGGCGAUGGAGACGGCAGAUCGGCGCGCGGGACGACUGCUGCAAGGUUGCUUCGCGAACCGGAGAUGGCGGCCGACGGUUGCAGACGGAGAGGCUGCAGCGGCGGCUGGGUAUGGUAGAAAAGAAAGAGAAACGGAAGAAGAGAAGUUUGGGGUGGCCAGCCGUAGAAAACGAAAAGAAAAGAGGAAGAAAAAGAAGAAAGAAAAGAGAAAGGAAAAGAGAAGGAAGAAAAGAGAUGGUUGUGGUCGUAGGUUGAACAGGAAGAGAAAGAAAGAAGAUGAAUAGGAAAAGAGAAAAAUAAAAUAAAAUAUUAUAAGUAUAUUUUUUUCUUUCUUUUUCCUUUCUUUUAUUAUUAUUCUUUUUUCUUAAAAAAGAAUUAUUAAUAAUAAUAAUAUAAUUAUAAUAUAUUAUUAUUACUUUUCUGUUUCCUUUACUUUUCCUCUUCCCAAAACAAACAUUCUCUCUCUUCAUUAAAUACUAUCAAUUCCAACUUUUUAUCCCUUCUUUAAAAUAACAAAAUUUUAGAUUAUUCAAACUAAUUAUAUUAUUUCCAAUAAUAUAAUUUUCUCAUCCUUCCAUAACAUCAAACACAUAUAUCUAUACUCAAAAUCCUAAAAUAAAUUACCAAGAUCAUUCUCUUUUAUUCAUCCAUAACAAUAUAAAAAAAAUCAAUUUUCAUAAUUAAUUAGAUAUUCUUCCAUAAAUAUUCAAUUAAUUAUAAUCUUCACAAAACAAACAAAUCUCUUAAUUUAUCUAAAAUAACACAAAUAAUUCCAACUUAAAUUCAAUUCCAUUAAGACAAAUAACACAAAUAAUCCUAAAAUAAAUUACCAAGAUCAUUCUCUUUUAUUCAUCCAUAACAAUAUAAAAAAAAUCAAUUUUCAUAAUUAAUUAGAUAUUCUUCCAUAAAUAUUCAAUUAAUUAUAAUCUUCACAAAACAAACAAAUCUCUUAAUUUAUCUAAAAUAACACAAAUAAUUCCAACUUAAAUUCAAUUCCAUUAAGAUAAAUUAAAUUUAAAAUUACCUUAAAUUUUGGGAUGUUACAAUCUUCCCUCCUUUUAGAAACUUUCGUCCUCGAAAGUACUAAUCCUCAACAACUCUAUAAUAUCCCUGGGUAAUGAGCUCUCAUAUCAUCUUCUCGUUCUCAUGUCGCUUCUUUAACUCGAUGAUUCUGCCACAAUACUUUUACUAAUGAAAUUCCUCUAUUACGAAGCAUCAUCACUUCUCUAACCAGAAUCUCAACUGGUUGCACCACAUAGCUCAAAUUCUCGUCAAUCUCUAGUGGUUCAUAGUCCACUACAUGAGAUGGAUCUGCCACAUACUUUCUCAACAUCGAAACAUGGAAAACAUUAUGAAUUGCAGAGAGAAAUGGAGAGAGAAAUGGUGGUAAUGCUAAACGAUAUGCCACAACACCAAUUCUCUUUAAAAUCUCAAACGGUCCAACAAAACGAGGACUUAACUUCCCUUUCUUCUCAAAAUGCAUAACAUCCUUCAUAGUUGCUACCUGCAAGAACACCUUAUCUCCCACAUCAAACUCAAGGUUCUUUCACCUCAGAUAUGCAUAACUUUUUUUUUUCUACUUUGCGUUGUUUGCAUACGUACUCUAAUAUUCUGAAUAAACUCAUUAGUAGACUAAACCAACUCAUAACCCAUCAAUCUCUGUUCACCAACCUCAUUCCAACAAACAGAAGUUCUACAACAUUUACCAUACAAAGCUUCAAACGGUGUCAUGCCAAUGGUAACCUGAAAACUGUUAUUAUAAGCAAACUCCAUCAAAUGUAAGUGAGAGUCCCAACUACCUAGAAACUCUAGAACACAAGCUCGUAGCAUAUCCUCUAAAACUUGGUUCAAACGUUCAGUUUGGCCAUCAGUCUGUGGGUGAAAGGUUGUACUAGAAAUCUAACCUCGUUCCCAUGGCAGUCUAAAGUCCCUUCCAAAACUUGGAAGUAAAAAGUGCAUCUCUGUUAGAGACAAUCAAUACGGGCACUCCAUGUAGUCUCACAAUCUCAAUCAAAUAUAAUUAUGCUCAUUUACUAGUAGUAUAAGUGGAAUUUUUUUUUUUGAAAUGAAAUCUGUCGAUUUCAUAAGCCUAUCGACAAUAACCCAAAUCACUGUGUAACCCUUCAGGGUUUUAGGCAAUUAUAUAAUAAAAUCCAUAGAUACAUUCUCCCACUUCCACUCUAAUAUACUCAAAGGUUGCAACAAACCUGUUGGUUUCUAUCUUGGUGCUUUAACCUGCUAGCACACCAAGCACUUACUAACAAGAUCUUCCAUUUCUCUCUUCAUAUUACGCUAGUAACAAACUCUUUUCAGAUCCGGAUACAUUUUUGUGCUACUUGGAUGCAUGAGAAAUGGGGAACUAUGAGUCUCAACCAAUAACCUUGUCUUAAUUGCAUUUUCUGUUGGCUCACAUAAUUCUCUCUCAAACAUAAGUUCAUCAUCAAAGGAUAUGGAAAACUCCUUAACUUGCCCUACUUCUACUAGGCAAUGCUUCUCAAUCAAACAAGGAUCAAUGAAUUGAACCACAAGAAUUCUUUGUCUCAAGAUCGGAUGUACUGACAACUGAGCUAACUGUGAGGUGACUUCCCCCACUAAAACUACAAUCUCAGCUCUCUCGUGGUUUUUGUCUAAUGAAACCUGUCUGGUAAUAAGUGCUGUCAAAAUGUGAUACUUUUCUACGAAGAGCACCAACUUCCACAUUCGCCUUACCUAGAUGGUACAAAAUCUCACAAUCAUAGUCAUUUACUAACUGAAACCAUCUUUGCUAUCUCAUACUCAACUUCUUUUGAGUGAAAAAGUAUUUUAUACUCUUUUGGUUAGAAAAUAUCUAUAUCUUUUCAUCAUACAUAUAGUGCCUUCAAAUCAUUAAUGUAAAAACCACAACUGUCAAUUCCAUAUCAUAAGUUGGACAAUUUUCCUCAUGACUCUUCAACUGACGAGGAGUACAAGCAACUACUUUAACUUGUUGAAUCAUAAUACCUUUUAAACUUUCCUAAAAGCAUCACUAUAAAUUACGAAACUUUUUGAACCAUCAUGUACGGUAAGCACGGGAGUUGUACAAGCUUCUGCUUAAGAUCCUGAACACUAUCCUCGUAGGCUUUGUCCCAAACAAACAGAGUCCCUUUUCUUAGUUAACUGAGUCAAAGGAGUAGCUAUACGAGAAAAUUCUUAUACAAACCGUUAGUAAUAACCUGCUGAACCCAAAAAUACUACGAACCUCACUGACUAUGAAAGGUUGAGGCCAACUGGUAACGACUUCAAUCUUUUAUGAGAUCCACAUAAAUGUCAUCUCUAGAUACCACAUGGCUUGGAAAGAUACUUGGCCUCAUCCAAAACUCACAUUUUGAAAACUUUGCAUACAAUUUGUUGACUCGAAGAGCCUCUAAAACCAUGUUAAAUGCUCCUCAUGCGCUGUCUCUAUUUUGGAAUAAAUUAAGAUAUCGUCAAUAGAUACAAUCACGAAAGUGUCUAAGAGAUCGUUAAACACUUUGUUCAUCAAGUCGUAAACAUUGUUUGAGCAUUUGCCAACUCAAAAGACAUCAUAAUGAACUCAUGAUGUCCAUAUCACGAACGAAAAUCUGCCAUAGGAAUGUCACUGUUCUCUAAUCCUCAACAAGUCAUAACCUGAAUGUAAUUCAAUCUUAAAGAACACGGACUUAUUGCAGUUGAUCAAACAAAUCCUCAUUCAUUGGUAAAAGAUAUUUAUUUUUAACCGACACCUUAUUCAACUUUCUACAAUCAAAACAUAAGUGCAUCGACCCAUCUUUCUUCUUAAUAAACAAAAAUUGGUGCACCCCAAGAUAACAUACUUCGUCGAAUGUAGUCCUUGUCAAACAUUUCUUUCAAUUGCACCUUCAAAUCUUUCAACUCUGUUGGGGCCAUUUUGUAUGAAGCUUUAGACAUAGGAACGAGUCUAACUCUUUCUCAAUAGCAAGACCAAUUUCUGUUUAGCGCGGUAAUCUUAGAAACUCUUCUAGAAAAAUAUCAUAAUACUUUUUCACCACUGAUUCAAAUAACAAAGAAACAUCGACUUCUCUGGUGUCUACCACACUAGUCAAAUACAACAGGUACCCUGGUCAAGCAACUUACUAACCUUCAUAGCUGGGAUAACUUUUAGCGAAAUGAUAGUUCCAACCUCUUUGUACUUGAAACUAGCCUCUGGAGAAGGAUUAGAAACUACAUUUUCGCUGAACAUUUUAUGUUUACAUGGUUAAACUACAUUCCAAUUUUCAAACUCUAAACUAGUAACUUUUCAUUCACGAGAAACUCAAAAUUGUUUCUUAAAGUCACAUCAAGACAACCAUGCUUCAUCUUCCUUGUUUCUUUUCCAAUACCUCCAUUCUAAAACCAUUUAAUGUCUUUCGUAUAAACUUGACCCUGUAUUUAGUCCUCGUUAAAACCACCUACAUAACUUAUUUUUCUUAGAUUUCCAAUCACAAAACAGACAAUUUUGCUAACAACGUCUUACUUUUCUACUACUCGACCACUCCUUUGAACACCUCUACAUGACAACAUUUUUCCUAAAUUUCACCAUUAAAUCUUUCACCAUUAAAUCAUAACAUUCAUGUAAUUCUAGUUUAACUUACGCAAGGUCAUAUACAUAAACCAUACAUAUAAGCAUAAAGCAUACCUGACGAGAGACGAAGGGUCGCGUUAGCCAUAGGGACACAAAAACAUAGACUUACAUCGUAAGUCAGUCUACAGAACCUAAAACCUGGCUCUGAUACCAACGGUAACGACCCAACUUUUCUAAGUAAGUCGAGGUCGUUAAUUUUUAACAAAUAAAAGACUUUGAUUAAUAUAAAACAAAACGUAAGCAAUUUAAAAAAAACAUCUUCAAGUCAGGCCUAAUUUUUAAACAUUCAAUAAAACAUAAAAUAAUACUAUUUACAACAAACGUUUGUAAACUAAAUUUCAAUUCAUCUUAAACCUCACAAGAACCCAUAAGCGGAAGCAAAAACACGUUUCCUAUGGCAUCACACUUCCUUCCUGCCCCUCGCCGGUUUCUUACUACCUUUGCCUGAAAAUUAAACAUAAGAAGGGUGAGUAUUUAAAUACUCAGUAAGAGACCCUCUACUGGUCCCGUCAGGGGAAAAUAAAUUAUUAACGAUCUAUUGGGACACCCUGUACAGUCACAGUCUUGUGAUCCCGUAGGAUACACAUCUCAGUCUAACGCCCCGAGGGACGUACAUAUCAGUCUAGUGUUCUGCAGAAACACAUAUCAGUCUAAUGCUCCCGAAGGUGCAAAAUAAAUUGGUGAUCCCGUGGGACACCUACAAGGUACACAUCCCAAUAAAUCUAACAAUUUUCCCCUCAUUCCAUUCAAUCCAUCCUUCAGUUGCUUCAAAACAUAAAAUUGUUUCUCUCAACGUCCUAACAGUCAACUUACUUUACUUUAGUCAUCUGUCCGUCAAUAAUAUACUAAUACGCCAGUCAAUCAACUAUACAGUCAAUACACCCCUCAGUUCACCAGCACACAAUCAUACUUUAGCGUAAUCGUACACCCAAUCUAAACGAGAAUCACAAGUUCAUAUCUACAUCUCAUACCAACACAAUCUACAAUCUUCGUCAUGUUCACAAACACACACUUAUAUAUAUCUUCCAUGACAUUCACGAUAUACAUUCGACGUUAUGUCUACUUCAAUUCACAUGCAUUCAUAUAUAUUUUCAGUCAAACCACAGUAUACAUUCAACACACAUACAGUUCACAAUCACAAUUGAGCCCAGUAGAAAAUCUCUUACCUCAAAGUUAGGGAAGCUCCUUAAUCAACUAACGUCCUCGAAACAAUCCUAAGCAUAACAACACAAAAUUCAAUUACUUUCACGAUACAUAUUCCACUUAUUUUCCUCAACGUAAGUUUCAACUCACCGAUAUAAUGGCGAACUGAACCUUCAACAAUUCACAAUCUGGUUGUGAAUGUAAGGGAGCCUAACGUUACUCCCAACACCUCAACGCACGACUCGAACUCGCAGCAAAAUCCUAAGUGUGGGUCGGUUAGCGGUCGGCCAAAGGGAACGUGGCGGCUGGGCUUCACGGAUGGAGACCGUCGCGAACAGACCGCGAAUCUGAACGGUUACAGCAAAUCUGAACGGUUACAGCAACUAGUCGGCCGACGUCGAUAGCAGAUGGAGCGGCGGUUGUGAGCGGGGAGCGUGGUCGACGGAGACAGAAUCGGCGAUGGAGACGGCAGAUCGGCGCGCGGGACGACUGCUGCAAGGUUGCUUCGCGAACCGGAGAUGGCGGCCGACGGUUGCAGACGGAGAGGCUGCAGUGACGGCUGGGUAUGGUAGAAAAGAAAGAGAAACGGAAGAAGAGAAAUUUGGGGUGGCCGGCCGUAGAAAACAAAAAGAAAAGAGG
rnacentral:lncRNA from 1 species